CAUUUAUCUGCCACUUAUCGCUGCGUGGUCUACAGAUAGAAAAUGACAUUCGUAGUUUAUAUAAAUGAAAUUUACUCAUUUUAAGUAUAUUUGUGGUUAGCUUGCUUACUUUAUUUGCUUUUUAUUCCCGCAUUAACUCUUAUUUGCAGAAUGUAUGUGAUACUUAGGGAAAAUUUAAUGAUUUCAAAGCCAUUUCAAUAUUUAGAUGCAUCUAAAAUAUUUUUUAUUAGCCUUCUGUAGAUGAAGACCUUUAAAAUGCAAUUGGUGUCAACCACAAUGCCUUGUGAGUCAUUCUGGGCUAUUAAGAAGCAUGCUAAUCAUUUCUCAAGCCAGCACUUUUAAAACAAAGUCCUAAUUCAUGGACUAUUUUGAAAAUGUUGAAUAGUAAAAUAGUCCUCUUAGCUGCAGACUAAUCCCACUGUAAGCAAAGUGGAUUACAUUUGUCUGUAGGCACAUCUAUGUAUCCUUAUCGCUCUGUUUUCUGGGCUCUGUUCUAUUGCGCAGUCUGGUUCCUCAGCCAGCCUUCAUAUUGAAUUUUGCUGAAAUAGUUAUAGAAUAAUAACUAUUUAUAACAGUAAAUAUUAACUCUGCAGUUCAUGAAAUUGUUCAUAACCGUACUUCCAUCACCUGGCUUAAGGAUGCAGCCCUAGUGCCUUGGGCUCGGACGAUUCUUGAGAAAUUGUGCAUGCUGUUAGCGCUCCUUUUUUAAGUGAAAAACAGCAACACAAAAAGAGAGACAUUGUCAGAAUCGGACAGAUGAGUAUCACUGUCCUCAAGGUGACACGAGCAGAUAUCUCCAUUCCUCUCUGUGGAUUCCAUCGCUAUCUAGACUGCAGAAAUACCUUCUGCUCCUCAGAAACACACUUCUGGCAAAGGACACAGAAGGCUUAAGUAAAGCUUCGGGACAUUUUUUCAGCUGCUCUGUGGAUUCACCUUCAUAAACCACACGCUUACUUUUCCAAGCAGGCACCCGCAGUUCACCUGACUCAGAGAGACAGUAAUAGAUGGCAGGAGGAAGGAGGAAGGAUCCUGCUCCUGAUUACCCCCAUUGGUAACUGGC
ensembl:lncRNA